UACGAAGGGGGCUAGCGUUGCUCGGAAUCACUGGGCGUAAAGCGCUCGUAGGCGGCUUGCUAAGUCAGGGGUGAAAUCCUGGAGCUCAACUCCAGAACUGCCUUUGAUACUGGCGACCUUGAGUCCGGGAGAGGUGAGUGGAACUGCGAGUGUAGAGGUGAAAUUCGUAGAUAUUCGCAAGAACACCAGUGGCGAAGGCGGCUCACUGGCCCGGUACUGACGCUGAGGUGCGAAAGCGUGGGGAGCAAACAGG
rnacentral:rRNA from 1 species